rnacentral:rRNA from 1 species
AAUGAACGCGUGCGGUAUGCUUAACACAUGGCCUUUGGCGACAAGUCGAACGGGCUGCGUGCUUUCGGGUGCGUAGCUAGUGGCGAACGGGUGAGUAAUACGUAGGAAUCUACCUAUCAGUAUGGAAUAAGGUGCCGAGAGGCGCUCUAAUACCAUAUACAACUCUACGGAGGAAAGAUUUUAUCGCUGAUAGAUGAGCCUGCGCUGGAUUAGGUAGUUGGUAGGGUAAUGGCCUACCAAGCCUACGAUCUAUAGCUGGUCUGAGAGGAUGACCAGCCACACUGGGACUGAGACACGGCCCAGACUCCAUUAGGAGGCAGCAGUGAGGAAUAGUGGGCAAUGGGCGAAAGCCUGACCCAGCAACUACCGCGUGGGUGAUGAAGGCCUUCGGGUUGUAAAGCCCUUUCGACAGGGAAGAUGAUGACUGUACCUGUUUCAAGAAAGCUCCGACUAACUCCGUGCCAGCAGCCGCCGUAACAC